CUCUUUUAAUUGUGCCUGAAGUUGAUGCUCUGCUAAUAUUCUGGAUGAUCCCAAAGCUAAUAGUUUCUCCUUUAAAACAGUAGCUGUAGCACCAGAGUAAAGCAUGAUGUAUUUAGGAUUUACAAACUGCUUGAAACAUCUACUUUUUACCCAAAUAUACCAUAAGUAUGCUGUGGCAAGUAAACCAAGGAUUGAAAUAGCUCUCAUAUUGAUCAAAGUAUUAUCCCACAGAGGAAAAUGAAUAAGAUAACAAAUAUAGUCUAGAGAACACGUCGAUUCUGUCAUUUGCGCCAAAGGCUAUGUUUCCACAGACUAAAGCAGUGCUAUAACUAACUGGUAAUGACAAAGCGCUAGAACUGUUUUUUAAAAAAAUAAUGGCAAAUCACAUGACUAUUAUGUAAUAACAACUUAAAUUAUGGUAUUCCCAAACACAAACGAAUAGAAUCGAAACGAGCACAUCGAUGAACGAGCCAUGGAUGCUCACCUGGGGCGGGCAAAGGAGAUCUGGAGGGGACGAUGCCGGAUGUCAAGGCCUACCUCUUCUUUAGAUGGUUAAAGAUCCAUGAAAAAACCCUGAAAAGAAGUCAAAGAUGAAGUGAUUAGUAAAAAACAUUACAUAUCAGAGCAUGAGUUGACCUGGUUUAAUUGGAUGAUGAACUGCUCCCAACUUAUGCAAGGUAGACGAGUAUCAACUGGCAGCUACACGUGUAAAAAUUUUCCACUUAUAUUUAGGAAAGUGAGAAGUAUCAACUGAUACCUACACGCGCAAAAUCUUUCUAAUAUUGUAUUGAUCACUCAGUAUUUUCUACAUAUCUCAGCACAGAGUAUGAAGCAUGAAGAAGAAACAAGAUGACCAGCAAUGUGUGCUAGUCAUUUUUUUCUAAUAUUCAGAAGAAUUGUGUUAGUUAUUACAACAUGAUGUCUCCCUUCUCAUGAUAUCAAGUAUAAAGUAUCAAGAGAUUCUCAUCUCUAGAAUAACCAUGUUCUUAAAAUUCGAACCAUGCAUAUACCCAAUUUUGUGGAAGAACAUAUAGCCCAUGGUGAAAUUGUACUAAUUGUACUUCAAUAUUCAGAAGAAAUGCAACAGAAUAUAGCAACGUGACUUCUCUUUUGUCAUGAUAUUAAGUACCAACUAUCAAGCCAAGCCCUUCAUAUUUGAAUUGUACUGCUCUCUGAUUUUAAGGGAGAACACAUAGCCCAUAGUGAUACUAUACUAAUCAUUGACUGAAUUGGUCAUUUCUUCCCAACAUCCAGAAGCCUACCUAAAUAGUAUGCUAUAAAGGAGUAAUAACAAAUUAAAGAUGCUGCAACUUAGAAAAACGAACACACAAGCAUAACGGUGGCAUCUCAAUACAUAUAUCUAAAGGCAGUAGAUGGAUCAGCUUAACUUGACCCUUAUUAAUGCAAUGGAUACACUAAUCACAAAGUUCUUACAAUCUUACAUGAACAAACACAGUCUUGAGCCUCGUCCUGUACUUCAGGGUGUCCGAAUGCUACGACAAGGAGGUUUCCGAACAUUUCAAGGAGUCUAUGAUGAGGUUUUUUGAGGACGAAACUGAGAAGGUGAAAGGGUUCACGUCAGAAUCCACCGUCAGCUACAGAGACCGGCUCAAGAUCAUGGCCGGGCUGGUCAACCGGACGACCUCCAGCUGGGCUCUACGGAGAGGAAGCUCGUCCAGGCGUACAACGAGAAGCCAGUCCUCUCGCGGCCCCAGCACAGCUUCUACGAGGGAGAGGACUACCUUGAGGUGGACCUUGACAUCCACCGGUUCAGCUACAUUGCUAGGAAGGGGCUGGAUUCGUUCAGGGCACGCCUCAAGAACGGCAUCCUCGAUCUGGGGUUAACGAUCCAGGCCUAGAAGCAGUCGGAGCUCCCUGAGCAGGUCCUCUGCUGCGUCAGGCUGAACAAGAUCGUUUCGCUGACCAAGAAGUUCCAACAAUAGUCACCGUUGAUGCCGAAGUGCCAGAGCUGACCCUUUUGCGGGGAUGAGGUUGUCCUCGCAGUCCACCGCCACGUCGAGCGCCAGUGCCGCGACGACGUAGAUCGUCCCCAUCCGCAUCCCUCCCCCUUCCUUGUGGCAUCUGGCGGCACCAUCGGCAAUGACGGGGCAGUGGAUGGGGCGGAGCUAGAGAGCGUGAGGCGGAGGUUACCUAGGCUUGGAGGUUGAGGGGGGGGGA